rnacentral:rRNA from 1 species
AACGCUGGCGGCGUGCUUAACACAUGCAAGUCGAACGGAGUACGUUUUCGGAUGUAACUUAGUGGCGAACGGGUGAGUAACGCGUGAGGAACCUGCCCUUAGGUGGGGGACAACAGUUGGAAACGACUGCUAAUACCGCAUAUGAGAUAUUCUGAAAUGGAUAUCUUGAAAACUCCGGUGCCUAAGGAUGAGCCUGUGCCUGAUUAGCUAGUUGGUGGGGUAACGGCUCACCAAGGCGACGAUCAGUAGCCGGUCUGAGAGGAUGAACGGCCACAUUGGGACUGAGAUACGGCCCAGACUCCUACGGGAGGCAGCAGUGGGGAAUAUUGGGCAAUGGGGGAAACCCUGACCCAGCAACGCCGCGUGAAGGAAGAAGGCCUUCGGGUUGUAAACUUCUUUUACCAGGGACGAAGAACGUGACGGUACCUGGAGAAAAAGCAACGGCUAACUACGUG